rnacentral:rRNA from 1 species
GACGAACGCUGGCGGCGUGCUUAACACAUGCAAGUCGAACGAAGUGGCGCACGGGUGAGUAACGCGUAAUCAACCUGCCCCUCAGAGGGGGACAACAGUUGGAAAAGACUGCUAAUACCGCAUACCGAAGGAGGGGAUUGCGUCGGAUUAGCUAGUUGGUGGGGUAACGGCCCAACAAGGCGAUGAUUAGUAGGCGGUUCGGAGGGAGGGACGGCCAACUUGGGGAUGGAGCGCGGCCCAGACUGCUUCGGGAGGCAGCAGUGGGGGAACUUGCGCAAUGGACGAAAGUCUGGCGGAGCAACGCCGCGUGAGUGACGACGGCCUUCGGGUUGUAAAACUCUGUUAAUCGGGACGCGGUACCGGAAUAGGAAGCCACGGCUAACUACGUGCCAGCAGCCGCGGUAAUUC